rnacentral:tRNA from 1 species
GGUUGUGGCUUAGUGGGAGAGUGCUCACUUACCACGUGCAGGGCCCUGGGUUCAAUCCUCAGUACCA